ACUCCCUCAUACAUAUCAAAAUAUCAUAUUUUGCUCCUAUUUUAGUACACUGAUUUUUGCUCCAUAUAUAUGUUCCUUUAUUUACGCCUACAAUCAAGCUAAUGUAAUAUUAAUACUCUCUCAUACCCCUCCUAUUUGUGUCUCUUUUAUAAUUGAAAUUGAAGAUGUGCACUUUCAAUUCACGUAAUAAAGGAAAUUAAAUCAUUCUUUUUCCUUAUUCUCGUGUGGCCA
rnacentral:lncRNA from 1 species